UCCCUGGUGGCUCAGAUGGUAAAGAAUCUGCCUGUAAAGCAGGAGACCCAUAUUCAAUCUCUGGGUAGGGAA
rnacentral:tRNA from 1 species